CUUUAAAACACUGAGCUUCUCUCUCUCCUCUCCAUUUCCAUUUGUGUGUAUCCACGUCCCAGAAAUGCUUGUUACUAACCCAGCUCUGGGGAGUUAUUCCCCGGAGUCCUUAUGUUUUUUCCUCGCC